rnacentral:lncRNA from 1 species
ACUGUUACGUGCUCCAUUUUCCUUGACUCUCGGCAGGCACUUGGAACGUGGGGUGCUUGGCUAUCAUCAUCUGCAUCAAAUAUGCUGGAGAAGACCAGGUCAUGCUCCAGUUCCAGAAGCAGUUCCUAUUCUUCAGCACCAGUUCUAUUCUUUAGCUGUAACUCCUAGUCUUUUGGCAUUAGUUGUAACAUGCUUGAUUUCUGUUGGAUGUAAGGUUAUUAAUAUAGCCAGUUGAAUUCAAUAAAGAAAAAAAGCUCUUUUGUCGAGAACUCCCUAUCUCUUGACUUCUCCUCCUUCUUUCGUCCUUUCCUCCUCUCUGUUUUCUUUACUUCUCAAAUUAA